rnacentral:rRNA from 1 species
UACGGGGGGGGCAAGCGUUGUUCGGAAUUACUGGGCGUAAAGGGCUCGUAGGCGGCCAACUAAGUCGGACGUGAAAUCCCCAGGCUCAACCUGGGAACUGCGUCCGAUACUGGAUGGCUUGAAUCCGGGAGAGGGAUGCAGAAUUCCAGGUGUAGCGGUGAAAUGCGUAGAUAUUGGGAGGAACACCAGUGGCGAAGGCGGUCCCCUGGGCCGGAACUGACGCUGAGGCGCGAAAGCGUGGGUAGCAAACGGG